CAUGCAUGUCGAGCGGGGUAUGGGGGCUUGCUUUCAUACCUAGCGGCGCACGGGUGUGUAACACGUGGAUGAUCUACCCAUCAGUUUGGGAUAACAGUUGGAAACGACUGCUAAUACCGGAUACGCUUCCCUAUCGUCUUUGGAGGGAAAGGCGGCCUCUGCAUAUGCUGCCGCUGGUGGAUGAGUCCGCGUCUCAUUAGGUAGUUGGUGGGGUAAAUGCCUACCAAGCCUACGAUGAGUAGCCGGCCUGAGAGGGUAAUCGGCCACACUGGGACUGGAACACGGCCCAGACUCCUACGGGAGGCAGCAGUGGGGAAUAUUGCGCAAUGGGCGAAAGCCUGACGCAGCGACGCCGCGUGAGGGAAGAAGGCCUUCGGGUCGUAAACCUCUGUCAGGAGGGAAGAAGUGCAGCGGUGCUAAUCAGCCGCUGUUUGACGGUAUCUCCAAAGGAAGCACCGGCUAACUCCGUGCCAGCAGCCGCGGUAAUACGGAGGGUGCGAGCGUUAAUCGGAAUCACUGGGCGUAAAGCGCGCGUAGGCGGCUUUUUAAGUCAGGGGUGAAAUCCCACGGCUCACCCGUGGAACUGCCUUUGAUACUGGAGAGCUGGAGUGUGUGAGAGGAUAGCGGAAUUCCUGGUGUAGGGGUGAAAUCCGUAGAGAUCAGAGGAACAUCAGUGGCGAAAGCGGCUAUCUGGCACAAUACUGACGCUGAGUGCGAAAGCGUGGGUAUCAAACAGGAUUAGAUACCCUGGUAGUCUACGCUGUAACGAUGGAUACUAGGUUGCUUGGGGGCUUGGACUUUCGUGCCGUAGCUACGCGUUAGUAUCCCGCCUGGGGGGAGUACGGUCG
rnacentral:rRNA from 1 species